UCGUAGAUUCUUGAACACCUGGGAACUCCAGUUUAAAACAAAGAAUUCCCCUUUUUUUCUUGAGAAUUGCUCCCACAAUGGCGCUUUCAUUUUGUGUGAGGACUGGAAUGAUGGCUUCUGUCUGUUUCUGAAAACCUCAGUGUGGCCUCAAGUGAACAGGAAAAGCUCAUAUUUCAAGGCCACUGACUGCAGCCCAUUCACCUCCCUUGAAGCAACGGACACUGUCGCCUUUCCAGUACAGAAAAUAAGGAAUACAGUUGGGUUUCCAGAAGUGCGUGACCACACACCGUUCUAGAGCACAUUCUCUACUAUGCAGGUUACUGGCGUGGUUGGUGGGAAGACAAGGACCGCUAUGAACCCCAAGCUGACGGAUAAUGUGGAGUACUG